GUAGGUGGCAAGCGUUGUCCGGAAUUAUUGGGCGUAAAGCGCGCGCAGGCGGUUCUUUAAGUCUGAUGUGAAAGCCCACGGCUCAACCGUGGAGGGUCAUUGGAAACUGGAGAACUUGAGUACAGAAGAGGAAAGCGGAAUUCCACGUGUAGCGGUGAAAUGCGUAGAGAUGUGGAGGAACACCAGUGGCGAAGGCGGCUUUCUGGUCUGUAACUGACGCUGAGGCGCGAAAGCGUGGGGAGCAAACAGGGAUUAGAUACCCUGGUAGUCCACGCCGUAAACGAUGAGUGCUAAGUGUUAGGGGGGGUUUCCGCCCCCGUUAGUGCUGCAGCUAACGCAUUAAGCACUCCGCCUGGGGAUACGGCCGCAAGGCUG
rnacentral:rRNA from 1 species